CUAAAGGGCAAGCAGCCGCACUUCUCAUCUCUUUCAUCUUUCCUCUUCCAAACAAGAACCCUUUUUUCCACAGCCAUGGCAGACCAUUACCACACUAUUUUGGUGCAAAUUUUGUUUCUUUCUACCUUUGUCUGAGCGUAUGUUAAUGUCUCUGUCUCGUUUCGUGUUUGGAUAGUACGUUAAAUCUCGAAGCUCAGUGGAGGUCUCACUAUUUCGGGAAGAUCUGAAAAUCUCGUGUUAAGCAUGCUCCUUUGGUUGAAAAUCGAAUCGGGAUUGGCAAGUUUAAACUCAAUCUUCUUUAUGAUUUUUCUCUUUCACCAUUUUAGUACAAGAGCUUUAUUUGAUUUUUGUCUUCUUCCAUCUUUUUCUGAUCUUGCUACUGGCGAAUCUUUACAAAUCUCAAACGUUCAGAUUUUUUAACUGGCUUUUGACCUAGAUAAUUCAAGAUCCCGCCCAAAUUGAAGAUUAGGUUUUUUGGCUUACACCUAUAAAUAGCGUCUUAAGAGCUCAGCCGCAGGAGAGAGUCACUGGGUCUCAAUCCAAAAGAAAAACAACGGAAAUACAGCCACAUAUCAUUCUAAACUACUAUAUUUUAUCUUUCUGUUUGAACUUUGUCUAAUCUAAGUGAUUUCGGGUUCGUUCGUGUUCGAGCGUAAAAUCCGAGACCUCGACGCCCCGUUCACUGCACCAACAAAAGGCUGUUAAAAAGGGUCGAGAUCCAACACCAAGUGAGGUACAUUUGCACGUUCAUACACACUGUCAUGAUGGAAAAUCUUUUGUUGGUGAGUGAGCUCGAAUCGUGCAUUUAAAAUGAGAAGUUCAAAAAUAAACUGUUUAGUGUAUCACAUAAAAUGGCACUGGUGGAGUACAAGAAUGCAUCAAGUAUAAAGGUCACGCAAUAUUGGCUCGGAGGAAGACAGAAUCCAUCUCAAUGUUUUCAUUUGUGGUACAUCGUGGCAAAUGGAGGAUCCGCGUAACAUAGGUUGUGGACGCAUGUGAAUUUUUUGUUUUUUGAUAGGAAAAAUAUCAAGAAAUACUACAAAAUCAGACACAGACUCAAUCUGAAGUUGAUCAAUGUCAAGCCUAUUACGAAGCCGCAGGAGGGGUAAAGAAAAGAAGAAUAUAUGGUCUUGGAUCUCAAGCACAAAUAUAUUACCGGCUGAAUCUUCGUCCCUCUUCUGCUUCUGAUGCUACAUCCUCAGUACCACCUCCGAAUGCUCAACUAGCAGUGACUGGAAAUUUGGAUGAGUUAGUGACACGAUUAAUUCCUGCACUGACUGAUCGCUUGCUUCCUAUAAUUAUUGAGCGAGUACGUGGAUUGAGUCCUUCUGUCUCUUCUCAGACAGACACUCCUAAUGACCAUCCAUCAUUUAUGGCACCUAUAGUUCCAGCUCCAGCUACUGCCAACAUUGAUCAAGUUCAUGCAUCGAUUUCUGGUGAUGAUCGUGGCUCUCCAGUCUCUCAUUAGUUAGUUUUGUUGUUUGGACUUUAUGGUUGUUGCAUAUGAUUUUGGAUUUUUGGUUUUGGAUAUUAUCGUUGUGGAUGCUUUGAACUUGAUUUGCAUUCUACUAUGUAUUUUGGACCUUGUAGAAUAUUAGUUUUUAUGAAUUAAGUUAUUAUAUGAGUCUCUAA